rnacentral:sRNA from 1 species
AAUUGUCAACACCACAAAUUACAAAAAGUAGUCGGGAGUCUUGCGUGUUGUGUCUGGUUCAAUUUGCCGAGGAGCUGGAUCAAAUUGGAGGAAGUUCUGAUCCAUGUUUUCGCCAAUCUCAAGAAUUGCAGCCAUGUUACCACAGCGAUAACAGUAGUUUGGUGCACUGAAGACCGUCACAACAUUCUCUACCUGACACCAAUUAAAUCCUUCCAUUACAAGUUGAUGUGCCCUUGAGAUGAGAGAUAGACCAUUUGUAUGGUUAAACUGUUGAGCGAUAUCUUGCCCAAAUGUAUAACCUGCUCCUCUCGGUGAAAUUCCCCACCCGCAUCUGUCAUCUGGGUCAGACCACAAAAGAUCACACAUGGGUCCUUCAUGAGGAACCUGCAAGCAUUUAGUGAAAUUUGCAUAUAUUGGAUAAGCCUAUAUCAGUUAAACCGCAAUUAGUCAAGUAACAAACCUGGUUUUCUAUAAGAGCUGUGAGAGGCAAAUAAUCAAACAAGUCUGUAAAGUAUUUCCAUACAUUUGCAUUUCCAUACUUUCUCAAGCAUUCAUCGUAGA